rnacentral:rRNA from 1 species
UCAAGCUACUAAGAGCGUACGGUGGAUGCCUUGGUGCCAGGAGACGAUGAAAGACGUAGUAAGCUGCGAUAAGCUUCGGGGAGCCGCUAAACAGGCUUUGAUCCGAAGAUCUCUGAAUGGGGCAACCCGGCACUGUUAAUACGGUGUCAUUUAUUGCUGAAUCCAUAGGCAAUAAAGGUGAACGAAGGGAACUGAAACAUCUUAGUACCUUCAGGAACAGAAAACAAAAGUGAUUUCCUAAGUAGUGGUGAGCGAACGGGAAAGAGCCUAAACCAGAUAUGCGUGAUAGCCCGUAAGCGUUGUAUAUCUGGGGUCGUGGGACUUUAUGGGAAAAAGUUACGGCUUUUUCGAGAAGUUACAAAAGUAAUCAAUAGCUGAAUCCUGUGGAAACAGGAACCAGAGCAGGUGAUAGUCCUUUAGGCAAAAUUGAUUACCCUUCUUUGUAAAGCACCCGAGUACUACGGGACACGUGAAAUCCUGUAGGAAUUUCGGAGGACCAUCUCCAAAGGCUAAAUACUCCCUGGCAACCGAUAGUGAACAAGUACCGUGAGGGAAAGGUGAAAAGUACGGAGGUAAUCCGAGUGAAAAAGUACCUGAAACCGUAUGCUUACAAGCUGUGGAAGGACUAUGCUCCCGCAAGGGAGAAUGUCUGACCGCGUGCCUUUUGUAUAAUGAGUCAGCGAGUUACUCUAUGUAGCGAGGUUAAGCCGAUUGAGGUGGAGCCGAAGCGAAAGCGAGUCUUAACAGGGCGUUUAGUUGCAUAGAGUAGACCCGAAACCGGGUGAUCUACCCAUGGCCAGGGUGAAGUCUCGGUAACACGAGAUGGAGGCCCGAACUGGUGUUGGUUGAAAACAGCUCGGAUGAGCUGUGGGUAGGAGUGAAAGGCUAAUCAAACUCGGAGAUAGCUGGUUCUCCCCGAAAUAUAUUUAGGUAUAGCCUUGCAACUGAGUGAUGGGGGUAGAGCACUGGAUGGGCUAGGGGUCUUACCGGAUUACCAAACUCAACCAAACUCCGAAUACCGUCAUUUCGUAUUGCAGGAGUCAGACUGUGGGUGAUAAGGUCCAUAGUCGAGAGGGAAACAACCCAGACCGCCAGCUAAGGUCCCCAAGUAUGUGCUAAGUGGGAAAGGAUGUGGAAAAACUGGGACAACCAGGAGGUUGGCUUAGAAGCAGCCAUCCUUUAAAGAAAGCGUAACAGCUCACUGGUCAAGUAGUUCUGCGCCGAAAAUUCAACGGGGCUAAGCACAUUACCAAAGCUGCGGGAUCUACUUCGGUAGAUCGGUAGGGGAGCAUUCUAUGCGGGUUGAAGCCAGACCGAAAGGACUGGGGGAGUACCCCGCGUGGACCGCAUAGAAGAGAUUAUGCUGACACGAGUAGCGAUAAUGCCGGUGAAAAACCGGCACGCCGGAAACCUAAGGUUUCCUGGGGAAGGUUAAUCCGCCCAGGGUUAGUCGAUACCUAAGCUGAGGCCGAAAGGCGUAAGCGAUGGAAAACAGGUUAAUAGUCCUGUACCACUAAAUUGACGUUAUCAGCGAAGGGGGGGUGUAGAAAGGUAAGCCAUCCAUCUGUUGGAAUAGGUGGUUUAAGCUCGUAGGGGGAUGUUCCAGGCAAAUCCGGAACGUCAUUACCCCGAGAAGUGAUGAGGAUCCCGCUUGCGGGAACAAACUGGCUGAUCCUAUGCUACCAAGAAAAGCCUCGUAGCGAGUUAGUUUAGUGAUCGUACCCGAAACCGACGCAGGUAGGUAAGGAGAGAAUCCUAAGGCGCUUGAGAGAAGCCUCGUUAAGGAACUCGACCAAUUGGCUCCGUAACUUCGGGAGAAGGAGUGCCCUUGUUAAGUGAUUCACCUCGCGUGAUGAGCUGAGAAGGGUUGCAGUGAAAAGGCGGUAGCGACUGUUUAAUAAAAACACAGGUCUCUGCUAAGUCGUAAGACGACGUAUAGGGACUGACGCCUGCCCGGUGCUGGAAGGUUAAGGGGAUUUGUCAUGCCGGUUUUUAUCGGCAGAAGCUUUGAACCGAAGCCCCAGUAAACGGCGGCCGUAACUAUAACGGUCCUAAGGUAGCGAAAUUCCUUGUCGGGUAAGUUCCGACCUGCACGAAUGGCGUAACGACUUCCGCAUUGUCUCAACGAGGCCCUCAGCGAAACUGGAAUAUCGGUGAAGAUACCGGUUACCCGCCACUAGACGGAAAGACCCCGUGCACCUUUACUAUAGCCUGAUAAUGAAUUUAGGUGUAAUUUGUGUAGGAUAGGUGGGAGACUUUGAAGUUCCGACGCUAGUCGGGAUGGAGUCACCCUUGAAAUACCACCCUGGUUAUUCCGGAAUUCUAACCUCGAGCCGUUAUCCGGUUCAGGGACAUUGUCAGGUGGGUAGUUUGACUGGGGCGGUCGCCUCCAAAAAGGUAACGGAGGCGCGCGAAGGUUCCCUCAGGCUGAUUGGAAACCAGCCGUAGAGUGUAAAGGCAUAAGGGAGCUUGACUGUGAGACUGACAAGUCGAACAGGUGCGAAAGCAGGCCUUAGUGAUCCGGCGGUUCCGCAUGGAAGGGCCGUCGCUCAACGGAUAAAAGGUACGCCGGGGAUAACAGGCUGAUCUCCCCCAAGAGUCCACAUCGACGGGGAGGUUUGGCACCUCGAUGUCGGCUCAUCGCAUCCUGGGGCUGGAGAAGGUCCCAAGGGUUUGGCUGUUCGCCAAUUAAAGCGGUACGUGAGCUGGGUUUAGAACGUCGUGAGACAGUUCGGUCCCUAUCUGUGGUGGGCGCAGGAUAUUUGAGGGGUGCUGUCCUCAGUACGAGAGGACCGGGAUGGACGAACCUCUAGUGUACCAGUUGUCGCGCCAGCGGCACAGCUGGGUAGCUACGUUCGGAUUGGAUAACCGCUGAAAGCAUCUAAGUGGGAAGCCAACCCCAAGAUUAGAUAUCCCUUCCCGACGAGAGUCGGGGACUAAAGGCCCCUGGUAGACUACCAGGUUGAUAGGCCAGAUGUGUAAGUUCGGUAACGAAUUUAGCUUACUGGUACUAAUUGGCCGUGAGGCUUGACCAU